AAAAGACCAAAUUUUGAAAUUUUGAAUUUCAAAAUUCAAAAAAUUUGAAAUUUAAAAAAGUAAAAAUUUCAGGAAGCAGGACAACUUCUCUUAACUUCUACCGUUUUGUUCUCCAUCAAGUUUCAGUUCUUUUUGCAUGAUCCUAUGAAUCUUCAGAUGGAUUCAAACAAAGACUCUGGCUGUAAGAAGCUCAAUUAAUAGUCUCUUCGGCUGCUUUUCGUAAAGUUAACAUUUCCUUUUUGUUCUAUGUUAAGAUGUAAUCUGGAUUUGAUAAUAUUUCAUUCUUUUACAGAUCUGUACAAACUUGUCGUGCUAAACUUGGAAGGGUCUGUUGUUACUGCGUCAUGUUUGGAUUACCUCACAGCUCUCACUUCAUUGAAGUCGCUAAAAUGUCAAUAGAUCUCACCUUUUAGACGAUGGAUGUGAGAAGUUUUUGGCCAAUGAAGUACAAGAUUAAAAAGAUACCAAGACAUCCCAUAAUGUUUGCUGUCAAUUUUAACAACAAUUUCCUAAAGGAAAAGAAUGUGCUCAGAUUCCAGGGGGGAGGAGUAUCUUCAGCAGACUGAUUAUGCAAGGAAACUGUACUGCAUAUAAACACCAGAGGCAGAAGCAUCUCCAGCUUCCAAAGACCUUUACUUGCUUCAAAUUCAUACCCUUAGGUCUUGUAAUUAGAGAAGUUGUUGUAUUGUCUUUUUAUUCACUAUGUAAGAUUGUUUCUCGUGUUUUGUAGUUGUAGCAUGUAUAGACUUUUUGUAAUUGAUAAGAGUGUAGAUAAUUAUCAUCUAUUUGUUUUGUAUUGAACACU